AGUGAACGCUGGCGGUAGGCCUAACACAUGCAAGUCGAACGGCAGCACAGUAAGAGCUUGCUCUUACGGGUGGCGAGUGGCGGACGGGUGAGGAAUACAUCGGAAUCUACUUUUUCGUGGGGGAUAACGUAGGGAAACUUACGCUAAUACCGCAUACGACCUACGGGUGAAAGCAGGGGAUCUUCGGACCUUGCGCGAUUGAAUGAGCCGAUGUCGGAUUAGCUAGUUGGCGGGGUAAAGGCCCACCAAGGCGACGAUCCGUAGCUGGUCUGAGAGGAUGAUCAGCCACACUGGAACUGAGACACGGUCCAGACUCCUACGGGAGGCAGCAGUGGGGAAUAUUGGACAAUGGGCGGAAGCCUGAUGCAACAACGCCGCGUGCGGGAUGACGGCCUUCGGGUUGUAAACCGCUUUCGCCUGUGACGAAGCGUGAGUGACGGUAAUGGGUAAAGAAGCACCGGCUAACUACGUG
rnacentral:rRNA from 1 species